AGAAUAAUAGUUUAUAAAAAAUAUUUAAUUUGCAAUUAAAAGAAAUUUUAAAAUUUUAUUUUA
rnacentral:tRNA from 1 species